rnacentral:rRNA from 1 species
CACGUAGGGCGCAAGCGUUGUCCGGAAUUAUUGGGCGUAAAGCGCACGUAGGCGGAUUGUUAAGUCAGGGGUGAAAUCCUGGAGCUCAACUCCAGAACUGCCUUUGAUACUGGCGAUCUCGAGUCCGGGAGAGGUGAGUGGAACUGCGAGUGUAGAGGUGAAAUUCGUAGAUAUUCGCAAGAACACCAGUGGCGAAGGCGGCUCACUGGCCCGGUACUGACGCUGAGG